rnacentral:rRNA from 1 species
UACGUAGGGGGCAAGCGUUGUCCGGAUUUAUUGGGCGUAAAGAGCGUGUAGGCGGCCAGGUAGGUCUGCUGUGAAAACUCGAGGCUCAACCUCGAGACGUCGGCGGAAACCAUCUGGCUAGAGUCCGGAAGAGGCGAGUGGAAUUCCUGGUGUAGCGGUGAAAUGCGUAGAUAUCGUAAGGAAGACCAGUGGCGAAGGCGGGGUCUCUGGACAGUUCCUGACGCUGAG